GACGAACGCUGGCGGCGUGCUUAACACAUGCAAGUCGAACGGAAAGGCCCUGCUUUUGUGGGGUGCUCGAGCGGCGAGCGGGUGAGUAACACGUGAGUAACCUGCCCUUGACUUUGGGAUAACUUCAGGAAACUGGGGCUAAUACCGGAUAGGAGCUCCUGCUGCAUGGUGGGGGUUGGAAAGUUUCGGCGGUUGGGGAUGGACUCGCGGCUUAUCAGCUUGUUGGUGGGGUAGUGGCUUACCAAGGCUUUGACGGGUAGCCGGCCUGAGAGGGUGACCGGCCACAUUGGGACUGAGAUACGGCCCAGACUCCUACGGGAGGCAGCAGUGGGGAAUAUUGCACAAUGGGCGGAAGCCUGAUACAGCAACGCCGCGUGCGGGAUGACGGCCUUCGGGUUGUAAACCGCUUUCGCCUGUGACGAAGCGUGAGUGACGGUAAUGGGUAAAGAAGCACCGGCUAACUACGUG
rnacentral:rRNA from 1 species